AUUGAACGCUGGCGGCAGGCCUAACACAUGCAAGUCGAGCGGUUGACGGGAGCUUGCUCCCUGAUUCAGCGGCGGACGGGUGAGUAAUGCCUAGGAAUCUGCCUAUUAGUGGGGGACAACGUUUCGAAAGGAACGCUAAUACCGCAUACGUCCUACGGGAGAAAGCAGGGGACCUUCGGGCCUUGCGCUAAUAGAUGAGCCUAGGUCGGAUUAGCUUGUUGGUGAGGUAAUGGCUCACCAAGGCGACGAUCCGUAACUGGUCUGAGAGGAUGAUCAGUCAUACUGGAACUGAGACACGGUCCAGACUCCUACGGGAGGCAGCAGUGGGGAAUAUUGGACAAUGGGCGAAAGCCUGAUCCAGCCAUGCCGCGUGUGUGAAGAAGGUCUUCGGAUUGUAAAGCACUUUAAGUUGGGAGGAAGGGCAGUAAGUUAAUACCUUGCUGUUUUGACGUUACCGACAGAAUAAGCACCGGCUAACUCUGUGCCAGCCGCCGCGGUAAAAC
rnacentral:rRNA from 1 species